AGAGGAGGGCGUGGCUUCUGGCGUUUGGCGGGUCUUUGUCUCUUGCUGGCGCUGGCACAGGAACUUGGGAUCCGUCUCCUCUUUCGCCUCCUCCGCUUUGGGAGCCCCGGGCUACUCUUUCACAGCCCCUGUUGCCCUGUGAUCUGUAGGUCCUUGGGGACGCACAGUUAAGAUGACAGGACAUCCUGGAAGCUGGGAAAUGAUAUGUAUUCAUUUCCUACCACCGUAGUGGAAGAGAGAUUUUCCCUAUCUUUACAACUGAUAGCAUUUCCAACAGUAAGCUGUGAGAUUCUGCUUGAAAUCACCUCUCAAACAAAUAAAAAACAGACCUGGGAGACAUGCUACACUCAUUCUGCUGAGGAAAUAGGCAUCAUAGCUGGGAAACGGAUUCACAAGACCCAGGCUGUUCCCUACAUAUGUUUCCUCCUCCGACAUCAGUUCAUCAGUCAAUCAAGCCAUGUGAGAGUGGAGGCCUUGUAUUCCCUAUUAUUCUUGGGCACUCUACUCCAAGUAGGAAAAGGCCAGGAGGUCCUGUUAAAGGAUGCACUC
rnacentral:lncRNA from 1 species